AUUGAACGCUGGCGGCAUGCCUUACACAUGCAAGUCGAACGGUAACAGGUUAAGCUGACGAGUGGCGAACGGGUGAGUAAUGUAUCGGAACGUGCCCAGUCGUGGGGGAUAACUACUCGAAAGAGUGGCUAAUACCGCAUACGACCUGAGGGUGAAAGCGGGGGACCGUAAGGCCUCGCGCGAUUGGAGCGGCCGAUAUCAGAUUAGCUAGUUGGUGGGGUAAAAGCCCACCAAGGCGACGAUCUGUAGCUGGUCUGAGAGGACGACCAGCCAAACUGGGACUGGGACGCGGCCCAGACUACUACGGGAGGCAGCAGUGGGAAAUUUUGGACAAUGGACGCGAGUCUAAUCCAGCCAUGCCGCGUGCGGGAAGAAGGCCUUCGGGUUGUAAACCGCUUUUGUCAGGGAAGAAACGAGUUUCUCUAAUACAGAGACUUAAUGACGGUACCUGAAGAAUAAGCACCGGCUAACUACGUGCCAGCAGCCGCCGUAACAC
rnacentral:rRNA from 1 species